rfam:Camelus ferus unplaced genomic scaffold scaffold324, whole genome shotgun sequence.
GCACUGGACCCUUUAGGGUCCACUUAAAAAAAAACAUAUAUAUUUU